GGAAGGAAAGUAUUUGCCCCUCCUCCCUGAUUGUGCAAGUUCUCCUACUUAGAACGAUGAGAGAGGCCUGCAAUUUUCAACAGAGGUACACUUCAACUGUGAGAGACAAAAUGAGAAAAUAA